rnacentral:rRNA from 1 species
CCAAUAGCGUAUAUUAAAGUUGUUGCAGUUAAAAAGCUCGUAGUUGAAUUUCGGGAUCAAGGAAUCGGUCAUGCCUCGGUAUGUACUGGUUUUAUUGGUUCUCACCUUCUAAAGAACCAUAAUGUCAUUCAUUUGAUGUUAUGGGGAAUUAGGACUGUUACCUUGAAAAAAUUAGAGUGUUUAAAGCAGGCUUACGCUUGAAUACAUUAGCAUGGAAUAAUGAAAUAGGACAUCAGAUUCUAUUUUGUUGGUUUCUAGGAUCGAUGUAAUGAUUAAUAGGGAUAGUUGUGGGCAUUAGUAUUCAAUUGUCAGAGGUGAAAUUCUUGGAUUUAUUGAAGACUAACUACUGCGAAAGCAUUUGCCAAGGAUGUUUUCAUUAAUCAAGAACGAAAGUUAGGGGAUCGAAGACGAUCAGAUACCGUCGUAGUCUUAACCAUAAACUAUGCCGACUAGGGAUCGGAUGAUGUUAAUUUUAUAAUGACUCAUUCGGCACCUUACG